UACGAAGGGGGCGAGCGUUGUUCGGAAUUACUGGGCGUAAAGGGCGCGUAGGCGGCGACUCUAGUCAGAUGUGAAAGUCCUGGGCUUAACCUGGGGACUGCAUUUGAUACUGGGUUGCUUGAAUUCGGGAGAGGAUAGCGGAAUUCCCAGUGUAGAGGUGAAAUUCGUAGAUAUUCGGAAGAACACCAGUGGCGAAGGCGACUCGCUGGACAAGUAUUGACGCUGAGGUGCGAAAGCGUGGGGAGCAAACAGG
rnacentral:rRNA from 1 species